GGAAGGUUGGCGAGGACUACGCUUCCCGGCGUGCAUCCUGUCCACGUCGCACCAGCAGCUAUCGGCGGUGCACGCCGGGACGUGUAGUUCAGGGGGGGGGGACGGAGGGGCCUCCGCGGCGCGUUGCUCGCCGGGAUGUGGAGCCUCGUUGUGGUGAGCGGGCAUUUAUUACAUGCAUCUUGCAGGCAGCCUUGGACAACAGCUGGUGGAAAGAAUGUUCUACUCGGUGGAGAGAAACUGUGUGUCACUGCCAUGGCCUGUCACCCAGCCACAGUGUUCAAGCUUGUAUUUUCAAAGAUAGUCAUAUUGUUAAUCGUCUUUGUUGGAGAGAGAGCUUAAUACGUACUGAUCUCAUUCCCCGGAGCAACUUGGUCAUAGGUUAGCACUGUACAGUGAAACAGUGUAUGGGGUAAGGAGGUGUGCAGCAUGAUGUUGGAUCAGUAGCACUGUGGUGAGGUGUGAUGUAGGGAUAGAGUAAGGAAAAUGCAAGUAGUCAGGAGGGGGGUGGGUAUCCUGAAGAGAUAUGGGGAAACUUCAGUAUGGGUAGAGGAACUACAGUGAGGGAAGGCACUCAGGAGAGCUGACUGAUUUUCAAAUAGGCCAUACACUCCUUUGGUUUGGGAAUACUUAAAAGUUCCUUUUAGAGAGUGAAUUUCUUUACUUCAUUUUGCUUGAAUGCCUGUGUUGGAUAUUCAACGAAGCCAGCUGGAACAAUACAUGUGAAGAUAGAUUGCCUUGACUUGGUUGUGACAGCUGAAAAUGGUUUAUGGCAUCUGAAUUGUGAUGGUAUUAUACUACACACAAAAACUGUGUAGCUGCUCUUUGAAGUACUGAGACAUAAAAAGUUGAAGUACAAACAUUUGGCAUAUUGAUUCACAUUUUGCCAUGUGAACAUUAGUGCUAUUCUAAAUCAUUUCAGUGACCAUGACUUUUGCAUAUGUUACAUUUCCCAGGAACAAUUUGUUUCUGAGAUGUCAGUGUCACAUUACCACAUUAUGUUCGUAACUUUUGACUGAACGGGGAUGGAAUGGUUAUGGGGUGGUGAAGAUCAUCUGUUCCAAAAGUGUUCUGCCCACAUGGUUACCGUGCUGCAUUCUAUCAGAUAAGCAUGUUAAGACCAAUCAGACAAUAGAAAACUCUAUGGUGUGUAAGGUCUUCAUGUCCUUCUAAGCAGAUCCACUCAAGUAGGGAUUUAACUUUUUUAAUCCUCACUGUUUCCAAUUAGACAUUAAACUAAGCUGUUUCUGACUUUGGGAAUCCUACAUACAUAUACUUAUUACAAGCAAGUGUACGAGAGAAAAAAAAAAUCAGAUAAUUUCAGAACAAUUCUGCUCUAGUCUGCUGCACAACCUUGAACACUUUAAAAUUAUCUUAAAUCAUUUAGCGUUAUCCUUCCCAUGCUGGUUUCUAUACCUCAGCCAGCUUACCCUGUCACUGCUUAAACCUGAUUUCUUAUUACUGCCAGAAACAUAGGCCAUCAUGAAGGAAGUUACAAGUAUUUUCUUCAAGAACAUUUAUUACAAUUGGGAUUCAGCUAUAGUAGAUGCAGUGUUCCAGAGGAAGUUACACACAGAGAAAAGCUAAUUGCGAAGAGAUUUUUUCCAGCUGAUAGCAAACAACUUCACAGAUGGAGUGGUACUCCUGAUCUGUUCCCUGUAGACAUGCAUAUUAGACGCUCUUGGUUCAUUCACAAAGAUAGCUGAAAGCUUAAUUAACUGCUGGAACCUGAAAGGAUUUAUCUUGCUUUACACUUGCAAAUAUAUUCCCCAAAUGCUGAAGAUGAGAGAAGAGCAGGUUUAGUUUAGAGAUGCAUUCACAGCACUAGAAUUUGAACCCUCAAAAAUUUGCCCUUUCACUUCACAUGGGAGUUGUGAUCCCACUGAUUGCAGAGGACAUCAGGAAUGUGCUACAUCUUUGUCUAUCAUCCUGGAAAGAACUAUACCACACAGCUUUACUCGGCUUAAAGGGAAUCCUUUAGGAUGACAAGUUUAAAGCUGGUUAUCGUUUUUUACAGCUGGUUUUUGGGGUAAUAAAAGGAAAAUUGCUGCUCACUGCUGCAAGCAGAUAUUUGAGCCAAGAACCUUACAGUCAUGGCUUAUCUCUUAGAUGCGUGACUGACUUUGUACAUCUGAACUUUGAAUUUUUAAAAAGAUGUCUGGAAAGAAAGUUUUUACAAGUGUAUCUGCUGAUUAUAUUAACAAACCACAGAUGGUGUCAAAGAAGUGAUCUAGAUUUAAAUAUGAAACAAAAAAGAAUGGUACAACAAUCUUUAACUUAAAGCAAACAAAUUGAAAAAGCAGCAUAACCUAUGCUAGAACAGUUGUGUGGGUAAAUGUGUGUUUUAAGGCUAUCCCUGAAUUACAUUGAAUAAAAUACUGCGUUCCAAAAGAUGAAAGCACAUUAACUGGAGAACUAGAAACUUGGCUUUGGAAUCUUAAUCAUAACAAUGCUCUCUUAAGGGUGUUUCCCCUCCUCCUUCUCUCCACCCUUUUAUUUUCUGUUUUCAUUAUUUUUAAAGUUAGAUUACAUUCCAUAAUAAAUGGUAGGAGUUUCCAAAGUAGGGCACAUUUGGAACUAAAUAAAUCAUAAGCUGCCUUUCACUUCCUAAGCCAAAGUUUUAGCGAAGUUUUUCUUUCUCCUUAAAGCUGAAAACUUGUUCACAUGCAGUUUAAGUAAGAAUCCCAAAGCAUCUUUCCAAAAGCAGUUGGUGCUACUGUGCUAAUUGUCACCUAAAACUGUUUCAUUUUUGGACAAUAGAAGAUACUCAUUUAGGGGAGAUUUCUACACUUACCAAGAAGAAUAAAUAAUAUCUACAGCUGUGAACUGCUUAGGCUUUCCUUCCUUAACCCAGAUGAUCCACUUCUGUAAAGCAAAGCAAAGUGUCUGAUUCCAUCAGCUUUAAAUAGAGAAAGAUCUGGGAAAAAAAGUGCUGAAAAUAAUACAUGCAUCCGGUUAAGCAGUUGACUGAAGCAACUGUCAAAUGGGCUGCAAUUGCCUCU